UACAGAGGGUGCGAGCGUUGUCCGGAAUCACUGGGCGUAAAGGGCGCGUAGGCGGCUCGGUCAGCGUGCGGUGAAAGCCCGGGGCUCAACCCCGGGUCGGCCGUGCGAACUGCCGAGCUGGAGCACUGUAGAGGCAGGUGGAAUUCCGGGUGUAGCGGUGGAAUGCGUAGAGAUCCGGAAGAACACCGGUGGCGAAGGCGGCCUGCUGGGCAGUUGCUGACGCUGAGGCGCGAAAGCUAGGGGAGCAAACGGG
rnacentral:rRNA from 1 species